UACGUAGGGGCAAGCGUUGUUCGGAUUUACUGGGCGUAAAGGGCGCGUAGGCGGCGCGGUAAGUCACUUGUGAAAUCUCUGAGCUUAACUCAGAACGGCCAAGUGAUACUGCAGUGCUAGAGUGUGGAAGGGGCAAUCGGAAUUCUUGGUGUAGCGGUGAAAUGCGUAGAUAAUCAAGAGGAACACCUGAGGUGAAGACGGGUUGCUGGGCCAACACUGACGCUGAUGCGCGAAGCCAGGGAGCAAACGGG
rnacentral:rRNA from 1 species